rnacentral:rRNA from 1 species
AGCUAGUUGGUGAGGUAACGGCCCACCAAGGCGACGAUCGGUAGCCGGACUGAGAGGUUGAACGGCCACAUUGGGACUGAGACACGGCCCAGACUCCUACGGGAGGCAGCAGUGGGGAAUAUUGCACAAUGGGGGAAACCCUGAUGCAGCGACGCCGCGUGGAGGAAGAAGGUCUUCGGAUUGUAAACUCCUGUUGUUGAGGAAGAUAAUGACGGUACUCAACAAGGAAGUGACGGCUAACUACGUGCCAGCAGCCGCGGUAAAACGUAGGUCACAAGCGUUGUCCGGAAUUACUGGGUGUAAAGGGAGCGCAGGCGGGAAGACAAGUUGGAAGUGAAAUCCAUGGGCUUAACCCAUGAACUGCUUUCAAAACUGUUUUUCUUGAGUAGUGCAGAGGUAGGCGGAAUUCCCGGUGUAGCGGUGGAAUGCGUAGAUAUCGGGAGGAACACCAGUGGCGAAGGCGGCCUACUGGGCACCAACUGACGCUGAGGCUCGAAAGUGUGGGUAGCAAACAGGAUUAGAUACCCUGGUAGUCCACACCGUAAACGAUGAUUACUAGGUGUUGGAGGAUUGACCCCUUCAGUGCCGCAGUUAACACAAUAAGUAAUCCACCUGGGGAGUACGACCGCAAGGUUGAAACUCAAAGGAAUUGACGGGGGCCCGCACAAGCAGUGGAGUAUGUGGUUUAAUUCGACGCAACGCGAAGAACCUUACCAAGUCUUGACAUCCUGUGACAGACGUAGAAAUACGUUCUUCCUUCGGGACACAGAGACAGGUGGUGCAUGGUUGUCGUCAGCUCGUGUCGUGAGAUGUUGGGUUAAGUCCCGCAACGAGCGCAACCCUUAUGGUCAGUUACUACGCAAGAGGACUCUGGCCAGACUGCCGUUGACAAAACGGAGGAAGGUGGGGAUGACGUCAAAUCAUCAUGCCCUUUAUGACUUGGGCUACACACGUACUACAAUGGCGUUAAACAAAGAGAAGCAAGGCCGCGAGGUGGAGCAAAACUCAGAAACAACGUCCCAGUUCGGACUGCAGGCUGCAACUCGCCUGCACGAAGUCGGAAUUGCUAGUAAUCGUGGAUCAGCAUGCCACGGUGAAUACGUUCCCGGGCCUUGUACACACCGCCCGUCACACCAUGAGAGCCGGGGGGACCCGAAGUCGGUAGUCUAACCGCAAGGAGGACGCCGCCGAAGGUAAAACUGGUGAUUGGGGUGAAGUCGAAACAAGGUAGCCGUAGGAGAACCUGCGGCUG